GGUCUAUAAUUAGUCUUAAUUACAGAUGUUAUGUUAGAAAAAGAAUCUGUACGGUUCUAAUGCUAUGGUUAUAUAUAUGUAUCAUUGUUAUAGAUGAAAGACAGAUUGAAUAAAACAGAAAAUAUUCUUUCAUGGUAUCAUAGCACAAAACUCUGAUACCCGACAAACACAAAGCAAAGGCAACGGUGCACAACCAUGGCAGAUGCACCAGAAAAGAAUAAU
rnacentral:lncRNA from 1 species